GGAAGGCUGGCCCAGUGGUUAGGGCCUGAGCCUUGGAUUUCAGAGACGUGGGUUCAAUUCCUGCUCUGCCA
rnacentral:tRNA from 1 species